rnacentral:rRNA from 1 species
UACGUAGGGUGCAAGCGUUGUCCGGAAUUAUUGGGCGUAAAGAGCUCGUAGGCGGUUUGUCGCGUCUGCUGUGAAAACCCGAGGCUCAACCUCGGGCCUGCAGUGGGUACGGGCAGACUAGAGUGCGGUAGGGGAGAUUGGAAUUCCUGGUGUAGCGGUGGAAUGCGCAGAUAUCAGGAGGAACACCAGUGGCGAAGGCGGCGAUCUGGGAAGAUACUGACGCUGAGGUGCGAAAGCGUGGGGAGCAAACAGG